AACCAGCAAUCACAAAAAAUAGUCAGCGUACUCAAAAGUGAUGAAGUAGCAAACAAUCUGGAUGAGCAUCGUGACAAACGAGUGAGAAAUAAUCAGAAAGGUCUUACUGUCAUGCAAGGCCAGAGUUUGUUUGCAGAUGGAAAUGUUAAUACAUGCAAUACAAAUGCAGCAGGUCAAUCUUCGUAUUCAUUUGGUCAGGCAUCGUAUCAAAGAAACAGAGAAGGUAAUGGGGUGAGUGUGUGACAGAGUAAAAGCAUGAUCCUAUUUUUUGAGCUUGACUGUAUGGUCCUGAGCUUUGUUUUUGUGUAUAUUUAUGUAAUUUAGGCUGUUGGUUGCUAUUAAUUUUUUUUGUUUUUGUUUUUUUACUCCUUCAUAUGUAUAUCUGAUUAGUUUGAUGUGUGGUAUAUAGUGUUUUAUCACUUUGGUCAAAUAUCACCUCCUUUUGGGUUAUGUUGAUGACCAUUGUGAUUCCUUUUUACAUCUAAAACGUUCACAAAUAGGAAAUCCUUGGCAGCAUUUGAACAUUUAUAACUAGAUUUUUAUUUUUGUUAUUUUAUCUGUUUACAAAUCGGUCAUCGUUUGC